AGAGUAGGGUACAUAGAAGUUGAAGGAAUGGAUCUGGGCUCUGCCAAAGCCGACCGGAACAACAAGCUAACAGCGGCAGCUGUAAAAAUGGCCUUGGCAUCCUCCGAGCAAAAACUGAACACCUUGGAUAACCAGCUUCCACUCUUGUCAAACUCCUUUCCGUUAAUCUUCAACGUCACAGUAUUACUCUCAUUCCUUACACAGCUUACAGUCCCACCUUUAUCCACAUCGCUACUCUUCGGCCCAGGAGACGACUCAUUACAAGGAAGCCACCUUGAUCCCUGGAAAAAGGGAAGUAUCGAGGAGGCUUUAAGCGGCGAAAUUCCAAAAACGCCCGUGCAAGAUGAAGAAGCUGAAAUCCCAACCGUUGACUUCAUCAGCGAGACCAGCCCAACGGCAAUCGGACUCCUACAGUUAUCGCCGAAUAUUUCUCCGGCGAUGGUAGUGUACAAAGAAACCGAACUCUUAGUCCAGGAAUUCAGCUUCUGGCUUGGGCGAUGGCAACCGGAUUGGAAAUCGCGCGUCCGCGGUGCAGGGGGUUCGAGAUCAGAGUUUUGCACAAUAGGAGAAGCGAAGAUUCGAGAACGAACCCAACAAUCGCGGAGGGAGCGGCAAUUUCCAACCCGGAAGCCAGCGCAGGAGGCGACGUUUUGGGCAACAUGGCCAGAGUAGGUGAAGGUAACACGAAUAGCCAUAUCAGCAA
rnacentral:misc_RNA from 1 species